rnacentral:rRNA from 1 species
UACAGAGGGGGCAAGCGUCGUUCGGAAUUACUGGGCGUAAAGGGCGCGUAGGCGGCCUCCUAAGUCGGACGUGAAAUCCCCGAGCUCAACUCGGGAACUGCGUCCGAUACUGGUUGGCUUGAAUCCGGGAGAGGGAUGCGGAAUUCCAGGUGUAGCGGUGAAAUGCGUAGAUAUCUGGAGGAACACCGGUGGCGAAGGCGGCAUCCUGGACCGGCAUUGACGCUGAGGCGCGAAAGCCAGGGGAGCAAACGGG